rnacentral:rRNA from 1 species
UACGGAGGGGGCUAGCGUUGUUCGGAAUUACUGGGCGUAAAGCGCACGUAGGCGGCUUUGUAAGUUAGAGGUGAAAGCCUGGGGCUCAACUCCAGAACUGCCUUUAAGACUGCAUCGCUUGAAUCAUGGAGAGGCGGGUGGAAUUCCGAGUGUAGAGGUGAAAUUCGUAGAUAUUCGGAAGAACACCAGUGGCGAAGGCGGCCCGCUGGACAUGUAUUGACGCUGAGGUGCGACAGCGUGGGGAGCAAACAGG